UUCUUUAUGGUUGAAAAUCACUGCUGUACAAUUUCAUGAAUGUAAUUGUAAUAUAUUUUCGAUCGGUAAAUCAGCGUAAAAACAAUUGAUUGUGAAAAACAAUUUACUUGAAAAUGAAUGACCUUAGAAAAAUCGUAUAUGGUGAUUCGUUGACUGAAUGAGUCAUUCUACUUUCCAAAUCUAUUGAUUGUGGCAUUCGUGACAUAUGAUCCAACAUGAUUGCAUGUGCACAAUUUGUUUAUGAUUUUCAUCCAUGAAAAUCUCGUGAACCUAAGAAACUUCCUUACUACGUUAUAUAGACUAUAUGAAAAAUGCAUUAAGAUGCUAAAAACGAAAGUCUAAUGAAGGUAAAUCUAGAACUUGUACAUUGCAUGAUGAUAAGAAGAUAACCGGGAGAAUUAUAGAAUAAGUUACAAAGUUAUUCCACUCCACAUAACUAAUAUACAUAUAUUCUUUAUUUUUGUUUGCCUUUCAACUUUGCAGUGAUCUCCUACUCCACAUAAUCAACAUGUUUUGCUUAUUACUAUUUUACGUUAGGAAGAAAAUUCGUUAAUUAAGUUAUUAUAAUGUAACAUUUGUAAUUAAAAGGUGGU
rnacentral:misc_RNA from 1 species